UGGGGAAUAUUGCACAAUGGGCGCAAGCCUGAUGCAGCCAUGCCGCGUGUGUUAAGAAGGCCUUCGGGUUGUAAAGCACUUUCAGCGAGGAGGAAGGCAUAAAGGUUAAUAACCUUUGUGAUUGACGUUACUCGCAGAAGAAGCACCGGCUAACUCCGUGCCAGCAGCCGCGGUAAUACGGAGGGUGCAAGCGUUAAUCGGAAUUACUGGGCGUAAAGCGCACGCAGGCGGUUUGUUAAGUCAGAUGUGAAAUCCCCGCGCUUAACGUGGGAACUGCAUUUGAAACUGGCAAGCUAGAGUCUUGUAGAGGGGGGUAGAAUUCCAGGUGUAGCGGUGAAAUGCGUAGAGAUCUGGAGGAAUACCGGUGGCGAAGGCGGCCCCCUGGACAAAGACUGACGCUCAGGUGCGAAAGCGUGGGGAGCAAACA
rnacentral:rRNA from 1 species